CCCUACCUACAGCCGAUUGGGCGCUCAAAACGGGCCUGCCCUGCCAUAGGCUGGCGGGUGAGCGGAGCCAAUUAGAUUCUCUUCCGGGAAUUGGGAUGGGGCGGUUGAGACACGAGGGCAGGUUGGCCUGCCCGCAGAGCCACAAAGGCCCUGCUCGGGAGAGCCGCUGAGGUGGGGGCAGACGCGAGAGACCACCGGGAGACUGCCAUCUAAAGCACUGAAUUGUGCAGAUAUGCAGAAAAAGUAAAAUGGAUGCAAGAUACAGAAGAUAGUUGUCUCCAUUCUGGCGGCCUUUUAGUCCCCGUGCGCAAUCCUCGAGGCCUGAGUGUCUGUCUUUGGAUUGCCGUGAGCCACACUCUACCCUUAUAAUAAAGCCGCCUCUCCAUAAAUUGACCGGAGUGGGUCUCAGGUCCCGCAGCCAGAAAAACCACGCCAGAGCAGAGGGCAAAGCUGCACAGUGAGCAGGUAAGGGCAAGGCAAUAGUCUACACCUGGCUGCUCAGGCCUUUAGCCUACCUGCCUAGCAGUCUCCAGCAGGCCUCAUCUUUGGCCAGCUUGGUCUGAAAUGCCCCCAAACUCCCUGACAUAAAGCCCAUCCAGUAGAAUCUUUGCUUGAUUUCUCUGUUCUUAGGAGAACCUAGGGUCUCCCACCCAUCAGGAAGUGCUACCUGCACCCAGUCGUGGGCCUUCCACAAAAGCGUGAAGAAAGUCUUGGCCUCUUCCCCCUAAGCGGCCUGAGGUGACCUGCGAAAAUGGUUCGCUAUUCGCUUGACCCAGAAAACCCUACAAAAUCAUGUAAAUCAAGAGGUUCAAAUCUUCGUGUUCACUUUAAGAACACACGUGAAACUGCCCAGGCCAUCAAGGAUAUGCAUAUCCGAAAAGCCACCAAGUAGCUGAAAGACAUCACUUUACAGAAGCAGUGUGUGCCAUUCCGUCGCUGCAAUGGUGGAGUUGGUAGGUGUGCCCAGGCCAAACAGUGGGGCUGGACACAGGGUCGGUGGCCCAAGAAGCGUGCUGAAUUUUUACUGCACAUGCUUAAAAAUGCAGAGAGUAAUGCUGAACUUAAGGGUUUAGAUGUUGAUUCUCUGGUCAUUGAGCACAUCCAGGUGAACAAAGCCCCCAAGAUGCGGCGUAGAAUGUACAGGGCUUGUGGUCAGAUUAACCCAUAUAUGAGCUCUCCCUGCCACAUUGAGAUGAUCCUUACUGAAAAAGAGCAGAUUGUUUCUAAACCAGAAGAGGAGGUUGCACAGAAGAAAAAGAUAUCCCAGAAGAAACUGAAGAAACAAAAACUUAUGGCCCGGGAGUAAAUUCUACAGAAUAAAUGCAAAAAAAAAAAAAAGUCUUGGAAUUUUACACCCUUGGACUCAUCAUAGUCAUAGAGUCUUGGAUGUGGAACCUUCUUGUCAAAGACUUAGGCUCUGAUUGCCAGUAAAUCUUAGAAUGGCCAAGCUGGAUUCUUGUGGCCCUACCUACAAGAUCCAGUUUAACCUAAAAUUCCAGAAAAGGUCUUGCCAGACUCCGGGAAUGCUGGUUGUUCAUGACUGCAAUGGCAGGACCCCCAUAAUGGUUUGUGAUUUACUUUGCAUUUUUUCCCUUUCUUUGGAGAGUUAUACGCAUUGCUUUGCUCCUAUCUCUGAUCCUCAAACUUUACCAGGGAAAGGCCAGCACCCUGCAUUGCUUCUCAUGUCUCCAGUGACAGAUGGAGAACAGACUGAGAAGUGCACUCCAAUCCCCUGUGUAGAUGAGAAUCCUGAGACUCCUAGAAGGGAGGUGGCUUGCCCAGAGUCUCACCUCCUAGCCUCCCACCCCUGUACUUCAAACUUAGUGUCAGCACUUUGCAGGUUUGGAAAAAUACUAAUAAAGUGAUUAACACUAAA